UACGUAGGGGGCGAGCGUUGUCCGGAUUUAUUGGGCGUAAAGAGCGCGUAGGUGGUUUGUAAAGUCGGAUGUGAAGGUCCAGGGCUUAACCCUGGGAUGCCAUUCGAUACUUGCAGACUAGAGCAUGGUAGGGGGAUCUGGAAUUCCUGGUGUAGCGGUGAAAUGCGCAGAUAUCGGGAGGAACACCAAUGGCGAAGGCAGCUCGCUGGGACGGUACUGACGCUGAGACGCGAAAGCGUGGGGAGCGAACAGG
rnacentral:rRNA from 1 species